rnacentral:rRNA from 1 species
AGCAGCCGCGGUAAUUCCAGCUCCAAUAGCGUAUAUUAAAGUUGUUGCAGUUAAAAGCUCGUAGUUGAAUUUCGGGGUUAGUAGAUUGGUCGUGCCACGGGUAUGUACUGGUCUUACUGAUUCCUCCUUCCUGAUGAACCGUAAUGCCAUUAAUUUGGUGUUGCGGGGAGACUGGACUGUUACUUUGAAAAAUUGAGUGUUUAAAGCAAGCCUACGCUUGAAUACAUUAGCAUGGAAUAAUGAAAUAGGACGUUCGAUCCUAUUUUGUUGGUUUCUAGGAUUGACGUAAUGAUUAAUAGGGAUAGUUGGGGGCAUUAGUAUUCAAUUGUCAGAGGUGAAAUUCUUGGAUUUAUUGAAGACUAACUACUGCGAAAGCAUUUGCCAAGGAUGUU